rnacentral:rRNA from 1 species
UACGGAGGGGGCUAGCGUUGUUCGGAAUUACUGGGCGUAAAGCGCGCGCAGGCGGUCCUUUAAGUCUGAUGUGAAAGCCCACGGCUCAACCGUGGAGGGUCAUUGGAAACUGGGGGACUUGAGUGCAGGAGAGAAGAGUGGAAUUCCACGUGUAGCGGUGGAAUGCGUAGAGAUCCGGAAGAACACCAGUGGCGAAGGCGGUCUGCUGGGCAGUUGCUGACACUGAGGCGCGACAGCGUGGGGAGCAAACAGG